rnacentral:rRNA from 1 species
AUUGAACGCUGGCGGCAUGCUUUACACAUGCAAGUCGAACGGUAGCAGGCCGCAAGGUGCUGACGAGUGGCGAACGGGUGAGUAAUGCAUCGGAACGUGCCCAGUCGUGGGGGAUAACGCAGCGAAAGCUGCGCUAAUACCGCAUACGAUCUAUGGAUGAAAGCGGGGGACCGAAAGGCCUCGCGCGAUUGGAGCGGCCGAUGUCAGAUUAGGUAGUUGGUGGGGUAAAGGCUCACCAAGCCAACGAUCUGUAGCUGGUCUGAGAGGACGGCCAGCCACACUGGGACUGAGACACGGCCCAGACUCCUACGGGAGGCAGCAGUGGGGAAUUUUGGACGAUGGGCGCAAGCCUGAUCCAGCAAUGCCGCGUGAAGGAAGAAGGCCUUCGGGUUGUAAACUGCUUUUGUACGGAACGAAACGGUCCUGGUUAAUACCUGGGGCUAAUGACGGUACCGUAAGAAUAAGCACCGGCUAACUACGUGCCAGCAGCCGCCGUAACAC